GGAAUACUAACAUUUCUUCAUUCAAGACAAAUGUAUUGCUGAAUGGUCAUAAUACUCACUUUGAGCCAUUCCCACAUCACUACUGGAUAAAGGAGAAGGUAACUAGCUGCAAGUUGCAACAUGGCAACACAAACCUUUCCCGCACAUAUGAUCACAGGUUUGGCUCUACAGUUUUCAAUGCAAGCAGUGAAGACAACAUGUUAGCUCCUUCAGUAGAAGACAAAGAAUUCCUUAAAGUAAUGGACAACGUGUUAUUUCAGGAAGAUUUCAAUAGUUGGGUAGCACCCCUACCCUUUCGCCUCCCGAGAGAGAAGCUACCGAACAAUCUACAUCAAGCCAUUAAAAGAUUCUCCUCCUUAAAGUGUACCUUAAGCAGGAAACCAGAGAUGGAAAGACAUUUUGUGGACUUUAUCCAGAUUGUCUUUGAUAGAGGUCAUGCACCUCCACUGAAAGAAGGAGAAGAAUGCUGGUACCUCCCUUCCUUCGGUGUGUAUCACCCACGAAAGCAAGACCAAAUCAGAGUUGUCUUUGACUCCAGCGCCCAAUAUGAAGGCAUCUCACUUAACAACAUGCUCCUCACAGGGCCCAACUUGAACAACAGCCUGAUUGGAGUCCUAAUUCGCUUUAGACAAGAACCUGUAGCAGUGAUGGCUGACAUUCAACAAAUGUUCCACUGCUUCAUCAUCAAGGAAGACAACAGGAACUACCUCAGGUUUCUAUGGCACAAAGACAACGACAUCAACAAAGAGGUAAUUGAUUACCGAAUGAGGGUGCAUGUCGUUGGGAACAGCCCUUCCCCAGCUAUAGCAAUCUAUGGACUAAGAAAGACAGCCCAGCUUGGAGAAGCUGAGUAUGGAUCCGACGCUCGUCAAUUCGUCGAAAGGAACUUUUACGUAGACGACGGGCUCAAAUCCUUUCCUACUGCUAAAGAAGAACAAAGGACAUGCUAUCCGUAGCAAACUUGAGACUUCACAAGAUUAUAUCUAAAAGCCAAGAGCUAAUGAAUGCAUUUUACUCUGAGGACUAUGCUGCCAGUGUGAAAGACCUUGACCUUGGGUCAGACACGCCUCCUAAGCAGAGAAGUCUAGGUCUUCUGUGGAACAUCAAAGAAGACACAUUCACCUUUCAAGUGUCAACCUGUAACAAACCUUUUAAAAAGAGAGGAGUCUUGUCCAUAGUGAAUAGCAUCUACGACCCACUGGGAUUUAUAGCCCCAGUCACCACCCAAGGUAAGAUGGUUUUGAGACAGCUUACUACUGAUGACAUAGAUUGGAACACUCCGUUACCUACUGAGAAACAACAAAGAUGGGAGAAAUGGAGAGGUUCUCUGAAGCCACUAGAACAACUCCAAAUUCCAUGUUGCUAUGCC